GCCCGUCACACCAUGGGAGUCAGCAACGCCCGAAGUCAGUGACCCAACCUUCAAGGAGGGAGCUGCCGAAGGCGGGGCAGGUAACUGGGGUGAAGUCGUAACAAGGUAUC
rnacentral:rRNA from 1 species